rnacentral:lncRNA from 1 species
UUUCUUUAAGAGAAAUGGAGUUGCACACACGGUCUUUUAGAUUUAAAUUUUAGAAGCAUUUACUUUUUUUUUUUUCUUUAUUCAAGGUCCACACCGCUGCAUUAAUUUUUCUUUAUGGAGAAAGUUCUGGUGAUUUAUUUUCUUGGCUAGGAGGAGCAUGUAGCGCUUAUUUUAUUUUGAGCUAGAUAUGACCGUUUUAUUUUGUCUGGAAUGGUGUAUGUUUUACGCUGCUUUCAAUUUGUUUAUACAACUUUUGUUGAAGUUUCAUUUAAGGAAGCACACAGCUGACUUGGAAGCACCACGGUGAUUUUCAA